GGAGUUUGGACCGUGUCUCAGUUCCAAUGUGGGGGACCUUCCUCUCAGAACCCCUACUGAUCGAUGGCUCGGUGGGCCGUUACCCCGCCGACUACCUAAUCAGACGCAUCCCCAUCCUAUAGCGGCAAGCCUUUGGUAUUCUUCAGAUGUCCUCGAAAUACAACAUAGAGUAUUAAUCCGACUUUCGCCGGGCUAUCCUCUACUAUAGGGAAGGUUGGAUACGCGUUACUCACCCGUGCGCCGGUCGCCAUCAACCAAAGCAAGCUUUGAUCAUGCUGCCCCUCGACUUGCAUGUGUUAAGCCUGUAGCUAGCGUUCAUC
rnacentral:rRNA from 1 species